CAUGCAAGUCUAAGUAUAUGCUGAAUAGCUGAGACUGCAGAUGGCUCAUUAAAACAGUUAUAGUUUAUUUGAUGGUCCCUUUGCUAAUUGGAUAACCGUAGUAAUUCUAGAGCUAAUACAUGCAUAAAGCCCUGACUUCGGAAAGGGCGUGUUUAUUAGAUAAAACCAAUUGCCCUAACGGGUAUUAGGUGAUUCAUAGUAACUUCUCGGAUCGGAUGUCUUCGCGACGCCGACAGAUCAUUCAAAUUUCUGCCCUAUCAGCUUUCGAUGGUACGGUAGUGGCCUACCAUGGCGGUGACGGGUGACGGAGAAUUAGGGUUCGAUUCCGGAGAGGGAGCCUGAGAAACGGCUACCACAUCUAAGGAAGGCAGCAGGCGCGUAAAUUACCCAAUCCUGACGCAGGGAGGUAGUGACAAGAAAUAUCAAUAGAUUGAACACAGUUCUGUCUAAUUGGAAUGAGUACAUUCUAAACCCCUUAACGAGAACCAAUUGGAGGGCAAGUCUGGUGCCAGCAGCCGCGGUAAUUCCAGCUCCAAUAGCGUAUAUUAAAGUUGUUGCGGUUAAAAAGCUCGUAGUUGGAUUUCUGUGUUGGUGAGGCGGCCGGCCACUCGUGGUUGUAGCUAGUUAUCACCGGCGCAUCUUGUCACAAGCCACGCUGGCCUUAACUGGUUGGCGCUGGGGACUGACUCGUUUACUUUGAGAAAAUUAGAGUGUUCAAAGCAGGCUAUCGCCUUGAAUAUGUUAGCAUGGAAUAAUGAUAUAGGACUUUGGUUCUAUUUUGUUGGUUGUUCGAGAACCGAAGUAAUGAUUGAUAGGGACAGUUGGGGGCAUCAGUAUUCUGAAGCGAGAGGUGAAAUUCUUGGACCUUCGGAAGACUAACAACUGCGAAAGCAUUUGCCUAGGAUGUUCUCUUUAAUCAAGAACGAAAGUAUGGGGAUCGAAGACGCUUAGAUACCGUCGUAGUCUAUAC
rnacentral:rRNA from 1 species